rnacentral:misc_RNA from 1 species
UUUCCGUAGGUGAACCUGCGGAAGGAUCAUUACCUAGAGUUGUAGGCUUUGCCUGCUAUCUCUUACCCAUGUCUUUUGAGUACCUUCGUUUCCUCGGCGGGUCCGCCCGCCGAUUGGACACAUUUAAACCCUUUGUAGUUGCAAUCAGCGUCUGAAAAACUUUAAUAGUUACAACUUUCAACAACGGAUCUCUUGGUUCUGGCAUCGAUGAAGAACGCAGC